AUCUUCCGUUAGUCCUGUCGCAGAUGACUUUCGCCCUUCUCAUUCAGCCCCUUUCUCUAAAUCUAAUUAAUUUGAUUUCAAUGUGGUAGGACGAGAGUCAUCUGUGACAGGAUAAUGGAAGAU
rnacentral:pre_miRNA from 1 species